UGAUUCUUCGGAUGAAGAUCUUGGUGACUGAGUGGCGGACGGGUGAGUAACGCGUGGGUAACCUGCCUCAUACAGGGGGAUAACAGUUAGAAAUGACUGCUAAUACCGCAUAAGACCACAGCACCGCAUGGUGCAGGGGUAAAAACUCCGGUGGUAUGAGAUGGACCCGCGUCUGAUUAGGUAGUUGGUGGGGUAACGGCCUACCAAGCCGACGAUCAGUAGCCGACCUGAGAGGGUGACCGGCCACAUUGGGACUGAGACACGGCCCAAACUCCUACGGGAGGCAGCAGUGGGGAAUAUUGCACAAUGGGGGAAACCCUGAUGCAGCGACGCCGCGUGAGCGAUGAAGUAUUUCGGUAUGUAAAGCUCUAUCAGCAGGGAAGAAAAUGACGGUACCUGACUAAGAAGCACCGGCUAAAUACGUGCCAGCAGCCGCGGUAAUACGUAUGGUGCAAGCGUUAUCCGGAUUUACUGGGUGUAAAGGGAGCGUAGACGGAGUGGCAAGUCUGAUGUGAAAACCCGGGGCUCAACCCCGGGACUGCAUUGGAAACUGUCAAUCUAGAGUACCGGAGAGGUAAGCGGAAUUCCUAGUGUAGCGGUGAAAUGCGUAGAUAUUAGGAGGAACACCAGUGGCGAAGGCGGCUUACUGGA
rnacentral:rRNA from 1 species